rnacentral:siRNA from 1 species
AAGAACCUGUACUCGAUAGGGUU